GGCGGGGAGCAGUUAGCUGGUAUCAGCAACCGCACCAAGCCUAGCAAAGAGAACAGUGUGGAGGUAUUCGCAGUCAUCCCAAAGAGCAUUAUCACCGCUUUCUUCAGAGGCUUAUCCUGCCUGUCUGACCUUAGAUCUCACCCCCUCUACUCUGUCUGUCCUGCUCAUGCAUCUGCCUCAUGAGGACAGAACUUGUCUGGUGUCUCCUCUAUGACCACAGUGCCUCAGUGCCUGACACACCAAAGGUUAAGCACCUUGUCCCAGGCUGCCUGGUUCACUAAAAACAACAAAAUCCAGUGGGCACAUGCUACACACCUGAUACCAGCCUGGAUGCUGGUGGAGAGCAAGACAAAACAGGACUCUGCCCUUGGAACCUGAAGUUGGAGGUGAGCAGAGAGAAAGUCAAGUAUUUCAACAAAAAGCAGAUUAUCACUGCCGCAGAGCUAGGACUGGAAUCUGACUGUCACGCCUUCUAGUGAGAUUUCCUUUCCAAGCCCAAGGGUGCUGCCUUCUCCACCUAAAGGGACAUUUCAGCUGGGGAAACAGUCAAGUAAGUGUUUGAAGUUUGGCCUUAGUCUCUUCCAAGGGUCCCACACUCCUGCCAUCCUUUUAAUAGACUCCUAAGAAGCAGGAACACCCGUUGUAGCUCUAAGUAUUUAACCUUAAGAGCUCAUGCUGACUCCAAUCCUUCUACAUAAGACAGAGGAGCAAUUCCGGAUUUAGGUGGGAAUUAGGUGGGAAACAGAAAGCAGUGCAAACCAGGGGUCAGAUACUCUGGGUUCAAAUCCCUUCUAACCUCAGGCAGGUUACUCAGUCUCUUGUGAUUUGAUUUCCUAUUGCUGAAGUGGAAACACUAAUGCCUCUGUCACUGGUUGUUGCAAAGAUGAAAUUAAAAUGAUACCUACAGAGCACUCAGCACUGUGCCUGGAACUCAGUGAGAUUUCACCAAACAGAGGCUGCAAACCUGUUCCACCUGUUGCUUUAAUGACUCCAUCUCUACCUGAUAUAUUUGUGAAAAGUGAGCCAAAAACUACUCGGAAUUCAAACCCAAGGACAUACACUCAAAGUGUUCAAAACAUAAACUGCUAUCUAGUUGAGUGACUUGAGGAACUGUCUCAAAUUCCCAUACUUGGGCAGACUCUGCGAUCGCAUCUUGUCUCGUGGCAGGGGUCCAGACAUGGACUGGAUUCCACUGGUGCAAGUUGUAGCAGAGCUCGGAACGCCACACCUCAAACAAAGCGCUGGCCAUCUCUGCCUAGAAAAUACUGCUCAUCCUUCAAAUCCACCAGACAGUCUCUCCCUGGAAGCCACCCCGGUGUCCCAGACAGGCCAAGCACCCCUCCUGUCAGCUCCCGGGAACUCUGCUGAAUGGAAAGGAAUCUGGGGCCUUGACAGAGACACAAGAUAGAAGGAGUGUGGGUCCCUCAACAACCAUCAGGAAGGAUGCCUGCUAACCAGGAGCAGCCCCACUGGAACUUUUCUCUCUGAGAAAUAAAAGUUUUCUUGAGUUGACUCACUG
ensembl:lncRNA